GGUCUAUUUAUUUAGGCAUGUGCACACCUCCCUCUUUCAUCCCACACACACCUGUGAACUUGUGAGACAGUUGGGGAAUUUAUUUGUUUAUUUUUUGUAAUAAAAWGRAUUAAUAANUCAUUGAACCCUUCUGUCUACUCAACUCAUAUAAAAUCAAUUUAUCUUAAAUGAAUGUAAUGGAUGUAACACAUCUCAUACUAAGUUUCAACAACGGAUCUCUUGGCUCUCGCAUCGAUGAAGAACGCAGCGAAAUGCGAUAAGUAAUGUGAAUUGCAGAAUUCAGUGAAUCAUCGAAUCUUUGAACGCACCUUGCGCUCCUUGGUAUUCCCUUGGAGCAUGCCUGUUUGAGUAUCAUGAAAUCUUCAAAAUCAAUCUUUUUGUUAACUCAAUUAGUUUGAUUUUGGUAUUGGAGGUCUUUUGCAGCUUCACACCUGCUCCUCUUUGUGUAUUAGCUGGAUCUCAGUGUUAUGCUUGGUUCCACUCAGCGUGAUAAAUUAUCUAUCGCUGAGGACACUGUAAAAAGUGGCCAAGGUAAAUGCAGAUGAACCGCUUCUAAUAGUCCAUUGACUUGGACACUAUUAUUAUGAUCUGAUCUCAAAUCAAGUANGACUACCCGCUG
rnacentral:rRNA from 1 species